UACGAAGGGAGCUAGCGUUGUUCGGAAUUACUGGGCGUAAAGGGCGCGUAGGCGGACAUCUAAGUCAGGGGUGAAAUCCCAGGGCUCAACCCUGGAAUUGCCUUUGAUACUGGACGUCUCGAGUUCGGGAGAGGUGAGUGGAAUUCCGAGUGUAGAGGUGAAAUUCGUAGAUAUUCGGAGGAACACCAGAAGCGAAGGCGGCUCACUGGCCCGAUACUGACGCUGAGGCGCGAAAGCGUGG
rnacentral:rRNA from 1 species